rnacentral:rRNA from 1 species
AAAUUGAAGAGUUUGAUCAUGGCUCAGAUUGAACGCUGGCGGCAGGCCUAACACAUGCAAGUCGAGCGGAAACGAGUUGUCUGAACCUUCGGGGAACGAUAACGGCGUCGAGCGGCGGACGGGUGAGUAAUGCCUAGGAAAUUGCCCUGAUGUGGGGGAUAACCAUUGGAAACGAUGGCUAAUACCGCAUGAUGCCUACGGGCCAAAGAGGGGGA